rnacentral:rRNA from 1 species
UACGGAGGGUGCGAGCGUUAAUCGGAAUUACUGGGCGUAAAGGGUGCGUAGGCGGGUCUUUAAGUCAGGGGUGAAAUCCUGGAGCUCAACUCCAGAACUGCCUUUGAUACUGAGGAUCUUGAGUUCGGGAGAGGUGAGUGGAACUGCGAGUGUAGAGGUGAAAUUCGUAGAUAUUCGCAAGAACACCAGUGGCGAAGGCGGCUCACUGGCCCGAUACUGACGCUGAGGUGCGAAAGCGUGGGGAGCAAACAGG